rnacentral:sRNA from 1 species
GGAUUACUCCUUUACGCUUUCGCGUUUGGUUGAUAAAGAUUCGCACCUCUAUCAAACCGGGUAAUCCCACCUCUUGGCAAGACCUGCUGUCAGAUCAAAUCUGAACUACUACACCUGAUGGUGUGAAUCCAUAUCAUCAGGAGAUUUUCUUUUCAAGGCACCAAUAAGCAGAUCGUGUAA